UCAGUCUUCCCUGCUGAGUUCCCCAGUGUAUGGAUUUAGCAUCUUCAAGAAUUAUCUCUCAUGGUGUUUAAUUCAACAUAAAUAAGGACAGCUAGUUCAGAGGAUGCUGCUGAAAGUUUUACACUAUCUUUACCGUGGGAGAAAUAGGAGAACUACUUGGCCCACUCUGGUUCCAGUUCAGACACUUGCGCAUGGAACAACAGCAUGAAGUACUCGCCUUUCAACAAGUGAACAGAGACUUUAGGGCAUUUCUGCAUCUUCUGAGUAAAAGAUCUUAUAUAUUCAAGAACCUUCUGGACACAGUCCUGUGCCAUGUGCUCUAGGAUGACCCUUCUUGAGCAGGGAAGCUGGACCAGAUGACCCACUGUGCUGCCUUCCAACCUGACCCAUUCUGUGACUCUCUGAUGUGUGAAUAAAGUACCAAACACUGAUCACAAAUGUGCAGUCCCUGUGCUAGCAAUCCA